AACUGAUACUACCUGCGGGAACCUGCGGAAGGAUCAUUCGUGAAGCAGGCGCUCUGUCGCCCUUCUCUACCCUUCAACCAUGUGGUCUUCUGCCAUUGCCUCGGGGGGGUUGAAGCGGCCUCGUCCGCUGGGGGCCCCUCGCUGGGCCCCGCCCCCCCGCGUGCCCUCGAUAAAGUCUUGGAGUGAUACUUGCGUCUGAUCAGUCCUGUGGACAUAAUGAAAAUAAAACUUUCAACAACG
rnacentral:misc_RNA from 1 species